rnacentral:rRNA from 1 species
GACGAACGCUGGCGGCGUGCUUAACACAUGCAAGUCGAACGGAAAGGCCCUGCCUUUGUGGGCUGCUCGAGUGGCGAACGGGGGAGUAACCCGUGAGUAACCUGCCCCUGACUGUGGGAUAACUUCAGGAAACUGGGGCUCGUCCCGGCUAGGAGCUCCUGCUGCAUGGUGGGGGUUGGUAAGUUUCGGCGGUUGGGGAUGGACUCGCGGCGUAUCAGCUUGUUGGUGGGGUAGUGGAUUACCAAGGCUUGGACGGGUAGCCGGCCUGCGAGGGGAACAGGCCACACUGGGACUGAGAUACGGCCCAGACUCGUACCGGAGGCAGCAGUGGGGAAUAUUACACAAUGGGCGGAAGGCUGGUGCGGCAACGCAGCGUGCGGGAUGACGGCCUGCGGGUAGUAAACCGCUUUCGCCUGUGACGAAGCGUGAGUGACGGUAAUGGGUGAAGAAGCACCGGCUAACUACGUG